UCGACACAAUUAUUUUGGGACACUUACACUUGGACUAAAACUCACACACUCACUUCAUAAUACUCUCACUUUGUGUUUUCAACUCACUUUUAAUUGUGCCUCUCUUCAUCACGCAACAUACUAAUUGACACUUGCUAUUUAUACUAGUGCUAAGUGGGCUAAACUAUGUUAUUUAGACUAUUUCACAAGCUCCUACAUACAUUUAAUUAAAAUAGUCCAUAAGCUCUAGCAUUCUCUACAUCAAUUUUACUCAUUGUCUUCUAGAACUCAUAUUACACAAAUGAGCUUUUUAAUUUAUCUAUUAAUCUAGAACUUUCUUUAUCAUGCUAAGUUUAUAUGUGGAAUACUUUCCCAGAUUAUGUCUAAUAUUAACAAUAUCCCUUCUUCCGUCACGCCACCAUGUCUGCCACCCACAUCCACCGCACAACCCAACGCCACCACUUCCAAACCCACGCAGCCCUUGAUUCCAUGUUUGCUGCCCCAAUUAAAAGUUUUGUUUUAGGGUUAAGAAGUUUCUUGUUCUUUGAUCGAGUUUACUUUCUCUUUUGAUGCUGUUGAUUUGAUUUUCUGAUUUCAGAUUACGAAUCAAUAACCUUUGCAGCAAUGGAUGAGGCAAGAGAUUAUGAGGAAGCAAUGUUUGAUGUUGUUUCUUGUUUGAUCUCGGAGGAUUGAGGAUGGGCAUGACAUGUUUGCUUUGGAGAUGCAUUUUAUGGUUCCAGUACUUUUAUCCUGCAAAUUAAUUGUUGAAUUUGUUGUCAUGUAGCUAUUUUUGAUGCCCUGCUUUGAAUUAUGCUUUUAGUAUUGAACUUUCGACAGCACUUCACCAGCAGCAACUGGGACAGCAACAGCCGCAAAAGAGCAGCUGCUGCAACACGUGGUAUCAACGACAGCAGCAACUUUGACUUUCGACAGCAGCAUCCACGACAUCGGCAACAUCAUCAGUCACAGCACACGACAAAACUGACAGCAAAAUUCUCGACAUGCACAGCAGCAGCAACGACAAUGACAACAGCAGCAGCAUGUCACAUUAACGGCAACAACAAGCUCGACACACGACAGCAGCAGCUGCACGCGGCAGUAACAACAACAGCAACCUCGAUACACGCAGUAGCAGCCACGAUAAAACACCAAUAGCAUCAGCACGCAACAUCAACGACAUCAACAAGCUCACUCAGCAGCAAGCAUGACAUAGACAACAUUUGCUAUUGUGAAUGCAGGAUUUGUUCUCAUUGACUUACAGAUAUUCAUUCCAUUGAAAUUAAAACCAAUUUGUAAUAAUUACUCUAAUUGUUGGUUCUAUAUAUUUUUUAUAAAGUAAUGUUGUAUAUUUGUAAAUAACAUAAUGAUAAUAUUUUACAAUGAUUUCGGUUUGUUGCCA